CCCGCCCCGGAGCACACGCCCCGGAAAUCAGGCCAGGCUCCGACGCCGGUGCUGACAGCUGACAAUGAGAUGGAGGACACCGGCAAUGGAUGGUCCGUCUUAGGAUCUCUGGAACAUAGGAGGAUCUGGCUAUCUUACUGUCAAAGCAGGAGAUCAACAGAUCUGAACUGACGGCAAGACUUCACUGGAUCCUUUGGUGCAUUACAGGGAUCAAAUGGAGGUUACCGGCAACUGAUAGACCAUCUCAGAGUCUCAGGAACAUCAGAGGACCUGGCUCUCUACCGUCAAAGCAGGAGAUCAACAGAUCUGGGCUGAUGAUGAAGUUUUCACUGGAUCCUUUGAUGGAUUCAGGUACUGGGUAAGCGCUAAAGUCCUUGGCAAGUGUUAGUGGCCAAAGUCUUGAUCCGAUGCCAACGCAAAGAAACUGGAUGUGGCUGCCUCGAUGGUGGACAGACCCUGCGUUUUCAUUGACGGUUCCUUAUGUGCUCUUUGUGGCACGAAUUCCUGAGGCACACUCUGGCAGACACUGUCCCCAACUGGUUCCAGCCAGCUCUCAGUCCCUCACGUUCUGGUGGGAAACAGAGUUUUGACAGGAAAAUGCCGUGAAGAAAGUAUACCAAUGUAAGCGGGGGAAUGGGGAACUUUCCUGGCUUCUGUACUACACCGGUGAAGAGGGCUAGCGAAAGGAUCUGAGUCCUCACUCCCACUUUCUUUACCCAGAGACCUCCCUGUCCUCGAGGACUCCCUUUCCACUCUCCUGUCUGGCAGAGUCCUUGUAACCCCAACAAGGCUGGGCCCAGGAUUCCUGGGGGGCUCGGCCCCCAACCCUGCUGUGGUCACCUAGGACAGGGGCUAGGGUGUC